rnacentral:rRNA from 1 species
UACGAAGGGUGCAAACGUUGCUCGGAAUUAUUGGGCGUAAAGCGCACGUAGGCGGCUUAGCAAGUCGGAAGUGAAAUCCCACGGCUCAACCAUGGAAGUGCUUUCGAAACUGCUGAGCUUGAGUACGAAAGAGGAUCGCGGAAUUCCCGGUGUAGAGGUGAAAUUCGUAGAUAUCGGGAGGAACACCAGUGGCGAAGGCGGCCGACUGGGCCGGAUCCGACGCUGAUGCGCGAAAGCGUGGGGAGCAAACAGG